rnacentral:rRNA from 1 species
GGAUUCCCCUAGUAACUGCGAGUGAAGCGGGAAAUGCUCAAAUUUAAAAUCUGGCGGUCUUUGGCCGUCCGAGUUGUAAUUUAGAGAAGCGUCUUCCGCACCGGGACCGUGCACAAGUCUCCUGGAAUGGAGCGUCAUAGAGGGUGAGAAUCCCGUCUUUGGCACGGAACCCCCGGGGCUUCUGUGAUGCGCUCUCGAAGAGUCGAGUUGUUUGGGAAUGCAGCUCAAAAUGGGUGGUGAACUCCAUCUAAAGCUAAAUACUGGCGAGAGACCGAUAGCGAACAAGUACCGUGAGGGAAAGAUGAAAAGCACUUUGGAAAGAGAGUGAAACAGUACGUGAAAUUGUUGAAAGGGAAACGCUUGGAGUCAGUCGCGUCGACCGAGACUCAGCCUUGCCUCGGCUUGGCGUACUUCUCGGCCGACGGGCCAACAUCAAUUUCAUCCCUCGGAUAAUGGCAUGGGAAAGGUGGCACCCUUUAUGGGUGUGUUAUAGUCUCUUGUCGCAUGCGAGAGGUGGGAUUGAGGAACUCAGCACGCACCUCUCGGUGUCGGGGCUUCGGCCCACGAUUACGUGCUUAGGAUGCUGGCGUAAUGGCUCCAAACGACCCGUCUUGAAACACGGACCAAGGAGUCUAACAUGCCUGCGAGUGUUCGGGUGGAAAACCCGUGCGCGAAAUGAAAGUGAAAGUUGGGACCUCUGUCGUAGAGGGCACCGACGCCCGGACCAGACCUUCUGUGACGGAUCUGCGGUAGAGCAUGCAUGUUGGGACCCGAAAGAUGGUGAACUAUGCCUGAAUAGGGUGAAGCCAGAGGAAACUCUGGUGGAGGCUCGUAGCGAUUCUGACGUGCAAAUCGAUCGUCAAAUUUGGGUAUAGGGGCGAAAGACUAAUCGAACC